AUUGAACGCUGGCGGCAGGCUUAACACAUGCAAGUCUAGCGAGCGGCGGACUGGUGAGUAAUGUCUGGUAAACUGCCUGAUGGUGGGGGAUAACUACUGGAAACGGUAGCUAAUACCGCAUACCAUCAGAUGUGCCCAGAUUGGAUUAGCUAGUAGGUGGGGUAAGGGCUCACCUAGGCGACUAUCCCUAGCUGGUCUGAGAGGAUGACCAGCCACACGGGAACGGGGACAGGGGCCAGACUCCGACGGGAGGCAGGAGUGGGGAAUAUUGCACAAUAGGCGCAAGCCUGAUGCAGCAAUGCCGCGUGUGUGAAGAAGGACUUCGGGUUGUAAAGAACUUUCAGCGAGGAGGCGUGAAUCGCAGAAGAAGCACGGGCUAACUCCGGGCCAGCAGCCGCGGUAAUAC
rnacentral:rRNA from 1 species